rnacentral:miRNA from 1 species
CACUAGAUUGGGAGCUCCUGGA